rnacentral:lncRNA from 1 species
CUUCCUUCCUGCUUUCCUUUUUACUUUCUUUUCUUCUUAUCUUUAUUUAUUAAUUCUUCUAUCUCCUUCUCUCUCCCUCUCUCUUCCUCUCACAUUUUCCCCUUCUCUUUUCUCUCUCCUUCCGUUCUCCUUCUCUUUCUCCCUCUCUUUCUCUUCUCCUAUUUUCCUCUCUCUUUACUCUUCUUCUCUUCCUGCUUCUCAUUCUCUUCUCCUCGCUGCCUCGCCGUCCCCCUCCCGCCCCGCUCGCCCCUCCGCAGCCUCUGCUCGCCGUGUUUGGUUCCCGUUCCCUGCGCCGUGUUAUCCCUCCAACCCUCCCGCCCGGCUGCAGGUGUGUAGCUAUUUAACUCGUGGAGAUAAAUAAAUUAAAUAAUGAUCUUGACACUGCAAUGAACCGAUUACUGACUUUGAUGUCAAAGGGAAACCAAAAACAGAAAGAAAGAGGGGGAGAGAGAGAGAGAGGGGUGAAAAAAAGCUAUUCCCUCGAGGGGGAAAUGCAGCUCCUUGUCAAACCUGUUUCCCCACAACUGUCUCCUUCUUUCAAUAAAAUCAUUAAACAAAGGCCGCGGGGUUAUGCGCACCACGCCUUGGGUGCCAGCGGCCGGGCGCUGUCCCGGGCUGGGCUUCACCGCGGAGCCUCGCCCGCACCCGCGGAACCCCGCGCAGGCAGCGCGGAGCCGAGCGGAUCCGGGUGGGGAGCGCAGCACCGCGGCCUCGGGCCCGAGUCACUCCUGCCGCCGGGCCCGCUCCCCCCUCGCCUCAAUUUCUUUUCUUUUCUUUUUUCUUUUCUUUUCUUUUUUCUUUUCUUUUCUUUUUUCUUUUCUUUUCUUUUUUCUUUUCUUUUCUUUUCUUUUCUUUUUUCUUUUCUUUUCUUUUCUUUUCUUUUCUUUUCUUUUCUUUUCUUUUCUUUUCUUUUUUCUUUUCCUCUUCUCUUCUCUUCUCUUCUCUUCUCUUCUCUUCUCUUCUCUUCUCUUCUCUUCUCUUCUCUUCUCUUCUCUUCUCUCUUCUCUUCUCUUCUCUUCUCUUCUCUUCUCUUCUCUUCUCUUCUCUUCUCUUCUCUUCUCCUCUCUUCUUCCUCUCCUCUCCUCUCAUCUUCCUCUCCUCUCCUCUCAUCUUCCUCUCCUCUCCUCUCAUCUUCCUCUCCUCUCCUCUCCUCUCCUCUCCUCUCCUCUCCUCUCCUCUCCUCUCCUCUCCUCUCC